rnacentral:rRNA from 1 species
UGCAGUCGAACGGUGAAGCCCUUCGGGGUGGAUCAGUGGCGAACGGGUGAGUAACACGUGAGCAACCUGCCCCUGGCUCUGGGAUAACCACCGGAAACGGUGGCUAAUACUGGAUGUGACGCCUGCACGCAUGUGCUGGGUGUGGAAAGAUUUUUCGGCUGGGGAUGGGCUCGCGGCCUAUCAGCUUGUUGGUGGGGUGAUGGCCUACCAAGGCGACGACGGGUAGCCGGCCUGAGAGGGCGACCGGCCACACUGGGACUGAGACACGGCCCAGACUCCUACGGGAGGCAGCAGUGGGGAAUAUUGCACAAUGGGCGCAAGCCUGAUGCAGCGACGCCGCGUGAGGGAUGACGGCCUUCGGGUUGUAAACCUCUUUCAGCAGGGAAGAAGCUUCGGUGACGGUACCUGCAGAAGAAGCACCGGCUAACUACGUGCCAGCAGCCGCGGUAAUACGUAGGGUGCAAGCGUUGUCCGGAAUUAUUGGGCGUAAAGAGCUCGUAGGCGGUGUGUCGCGUCUGCUGUGAAAACUCAGGGCUUAACUCUGAGCUUGCAGUGGGUACGGGCAUACUUGAGUGCUGUAGGGGAGACUGGAAUUCCUGGUGUAGCGGUGAAAUGCGCAGAUAUCAGGAGGAACACCGGUGGCGAAGGCGGGUCUCUGGGCAGUUACUGACGCUGAGGAGCGAAAGCAUGGGGAGCGAACAGGAUUAGAUACCCUGGUAGUCCAUGCCGUAAACGUUGGGCGCUAGGUGUGGGGUCCAUUCCACGGAUUCCGUGCCGCAGCUAACGCAUUAAGCGCCCCGCCUGGGGAGUACGGCCGCAAGGCUAAAACUCAAAGGAAUUGACGGGGGCCCGCACAAGCGGCGGAGCAUGCGGAUUAAUUCGAUGCAACGCGAAGAACCUUACCAAGGCUUGACAUGCGCAGUGGAAUCCCAGAGAUGGGGUGUCAUUUAGUUGGNUUGCGUACAGGUGGUGCAUGGUUGUCGUCAGCUCGUGUCGUGAGAUGUUGGGUUAAGUCCCGCAACGAGCGCAACCCUNCGUUCCAUGUUGCCAGCACUUCGGGUGGGGACUCAUGGGAGACUGCCGGGGUCAACUCGGAGGAAGGUGGGGAUGACGUCAAAUCAUCAUGCCCCUUAUGUCUUGGGCUUCACGCAUGCUACAAUGGCCGGUACAGAGGGCUGCGAUACCGUGAGGUGGAGCGAAUCCCUUAAAGCUGGUCUCAGUUCGGAUCGGGGUCUGCAACUCGACCCCGUGAAGUCGGAGUCGCUAGUAAUCGCAGAUCAGCAACGCUGCGGUGAAUACGUUCCCGGGCCUUGUACACACCGCCCGUCACGUCAUGAAAGUCGGUAACACCCGAAGCCGGUGGCC